AGCGAACGUUAGCGGCGGGCCUAACACAUGCAAGUCGAGCGAGAAAGGGGCUUCGGCCCUGCGUAAAGCGGCGGACGGGUGAGUAACACGUAGGUAACCUUCCUUCGAGCGGGGGACAACGGUCCGAAAGGACCGCCAAUACCGCGUAAGUUCCCGAGGACCCUGGUCCCUGGGAGGAAAGCCAGGUCGCAAGCGCCGGCCCCCGGAGAGGGGCCGGGGUCGCAUCAGCUAGUUGGGGGGGUAAUGGCCUACCAAGGCGAAGACGCGUAGCUGGUCUGAGAGGAUGAUCAGCCACACUGGGGCUGGGACACGGCCCAGACUCCUACGGGAGGCAGCAGUGGGGAAUAUUGGACAAUGGGCGCAAGCCUGAUCCAGCCACGCCGCGUGAGUGAUGAAGGCCUUCGGGUCGUAAAGCUCUGUGGGGAGGGACGAACCGCUGCACGUGCAUAGCGUGCAGCAUGACGGUACCUCCUUAGCAAGCACCGGCUAACUUCGUGCCAGCAGCCGCCGUAA
rnacentral:rRNA from 1 species